UUGUGCCACAGGUAAAGAAGCUUAGCCAUUAUUGAUCUAUGUAAACAGAAGGUGUAGAGUCUCAACCAACUUGUUGACAUUUUUGCUUAAAAAUGUGUUUUCCAGCUACCGGAAGAAGCAGGCUCCUGAAACUGCAAUUCAGGGAGGUAAUGUGCAGUCAACCUCAACACCCAGUAAGAGAACAGCAGCUAAAAUGUCGCAUCGAUUAUCUCCAACUGAACCUGUGUCUGAGGGGGAAGAUUUUCUAAUGGCUGGUGUUGAGGCCUUAGCUGAUGACCUAGAUUUGGAUCCUUUUGAAGAAAGAAAGAAUUAAUGACAGAUGUAUUAGGCUCCACAUUUAUCUCUUUAGAAUCAGUACCAUUUCAGGUAAGUUCUAGUAUUUAUCUUUACGUAAAACAAAUAUUGUGUUGUCUGUAGUUUCAAAUCCAUGGAUCUAGCUACGGAUGCAGUCCAAAUUGAUGAGGACCAAGCAAACAACUUACUCAACAGUGUGUGAGUUGCAAUGUCUUCUUAUCUAGGGGUGGGCAAUAUAAACGAUAUAAGGUAGAAAUGAUAUAAAAUUGGGUAAUUUUACGGCCCCCAGCUCGUCUAGGAGAUGAUGUUAAAGGGGGCGUAAAGAAAGAUAUGUGAAUUACCGGACAAAACCAAGAUUUACUCUCUUAGAGGAGUUUAUUAACUAAAAAACACUGCUUUAUGCAGGCUAAGACAAAAUGAAUACAAAACCAAAAGGACGUCCCACUGGGGAAUUAACAAUACUAAACAGAAGGAUCAUCCAAUACAGGGUAAAUAACAAUACUAUUAAUAAACACAAAACGCCGGUACUAAUCCGGGAAAGUAAAGGAAUGAGACAAACACAAAAGGCUACACCAAAAGGGUGAGCUGAACUCUUUAACGAGUAUUCUAAUGGAGACAAAAACGAGCUCUGGCUACUAGGAAGUGUACCACACAGGUAAUCAAAACGAAGACUUUAACGUCUGGUUUGCUAGGAGGGAAAAAGAGGAACACUCGCUUUAACACCAGGCCUCUGCUAAGCUUCCCUCCUCAAAUGACAGAGGGAGCUGCCUUUUAUAGGAAGCUCCCUGACUGAGAAGAUUAGCGACACCUGGCUCAGCUAGAGCCAGGUGAACAGGUAGGAGCUCUGAGGCCACCUUGUGGCCACAAAACAGACAACGUCUGUAACAGGUAAUGAUAGUUUUUGGCUAUAUCGCAAUACGGCGAUAUUGUGAUAACACAUGACGUCACUAAGAUGUGCACCCUGCUGACAAUGGGACAACAGAAUGGCGGUGACUGCAAGCAUGGAGUGGGCGGAGGAGGAGGCCUAUAUGCCUCAAGUGGCAUAUAUUUGCCACAUGAGGAUAUCUAAAAGCAUGUCAAUUUGACAUCUAUAAACAGAUGAAAAAAUAUAUCGCAAUAUAUAUCGUUGCUGCACAUGCUUCAGAUUAUAUCGCAAUAUAGAUUUGAGGCCAUAUUUCCCAGCCCUAUUCUUAUCUACACUCUCUUUUUAAACUCCAAAGUCUUAAAACAAUAUAUUAAUUCUACUUUUAUUUAUUGUUUUCAUAACAGAAUAGAACUGUUAUGAAAACUUUGUCAGGCUGACGAAGUUUGCAGCCGCAAACAAAACGUUGCAGGUAAAUAAAACCCUUCUAUGUUUUAAAAAGAACUAAAAGAUGGAAUUGUUGUUUUAUCCUUGUUCACAGGCUGGGAUCCUAAAGGGAAUUUCCAUCCUACUUGUGUGGCUGAAUGACAUCUUCAACCAAUUUUGGUACAUUUGCCAGAAAGCACAACAUCGUGAUAUGUUUAAUGACAUGUGGGUGGGUGUGCUUCACCAUGUCACAGGGAAGCAUGAAUGGACCCGUGGCAAAUGUGACCAUGGACCACUUGAUGCAACGACCAGUGAUAAAGAGCUCAUGGUACCAUGAUCUCCACCACACGAGGCUCUUCAACGAAUCAUGUUCAACAGACGCUGGGUGACGGAUGUCACCAAUCUGACCUUUAGGUAUAUUAAUAACAUUUUCAUAAGCAAAAAAGCUAAAGUGUCAAUAUCAAAGCUGAAAAUUUACAUAUAGAAAUGACAAUUGUGGGUGAAAAGGCAAUCAAAAGUGUGAUUCCUAAUAAUCUAUAAAGUUGUGGCUUUUGUUUUUUUACAGGUCAACUUCAGAACUGGAGAGUUUCCAGAAUUGCAUUCUCAUGUAAUCUAUGUAAGAUCUAAUGCUGCUCUCUCCAUAAAGGCCCCAGCUACGUGAAGCAUCAAGAGACAGGAAUGACUUCUUUCAUGCACACAGAUUUAUUAGAAAUUAAGAAAAAAUACUAUGUACAAAUGCAAAUAACAGAACUUUUUUGUACAUAAAUAAAAAUAAAUAUAUUGCACAAACUGUUUGUUUAUUUUUGGGUGAAAAUGCUGUCUUCAGCUAAAGUUAUUUUGAG